rnacentral:rRNA from 1 species
AACGUAGGUGGCAAGCGUUAUCCGGAUUUACUGGGCGUAAAGCGUGUGCAGGCGGUCUUAUAAGUGGUGUAUGAAAUCUCCGCGCUUAACGUGGAGGGGUUAUGCCAGACUGUAGGACUUGAACCCAUCAGAGGGACGUGGAAUUCCGGGUGUAGUGGUGAAAUGCGUAGAUAUCGGGAGGAACACCUGUGGCGAAAGCG